CAUUGCUCACGAAGACACAAAGGAAUACUCCUGUUGGAACUUUAUUGAAGCUAUAUAUAAAAAAACAUCCUAAUGAUUGAUUUUGUACUUAGUUUGAAAUGUUUCUUUGACCUGUAAUAUAACCUUUUGAAGUUUUUGUCCGACGUAACGCUGACCAGGAUGAGCGUUUGGAUAUGUAUACCAAACACGCUAACAAAAGAAGGUAUUUGGACAUAAAUAACGGACAUUAUCGAACAAAACAAACAUUUAUUUUGGACCUGGGAUUCCUGGAGUGCUUUCUGAUGUAGAUCAUCAAAGCUAAGUCCCCUCCUGUUCCCUGAUUAAGAGGUGAUGACAACUCCACUACCAUUGUCAACUCUCUCCUGACAUGAACUGAAGCCACGUCUCAUGUGCUCGCUCAUCCACUGGCACAUUGCAUGUUUCCUCUCCAAGCACUUUAAAUCCUGUCCUGCACUGAAGUCAAGCCUCUGACCACAUCAACUCAUGCCUCAUACCUCACUGCUGUGAUCCCUUCUCAGUCCCAUUCCCCAUAAUAUUGUAC